rnacentral:rRNA from 1 species
AGUGAACGCUGGCGGUAGGCCUAACACAUGCAAGUCGAACGGCAGCACAGUAAGAGCUUGCUCUUACGGGUGGCGAGUGGCGGACGGGUGAGGAAUACAUCGGAAUCUACUUUUUCGUGGGGGAUAACGUAGGGAAACUUACGCUAAUACCGCAUACGACCUACGGGUGAAAGCAGGGGAUCUUCGGACCUUGCGCGAUUGAAUGAGCCGAUGUCGGAUUAGCUAGUUGGCGGGGUAAAGGCCCACCAAGGCGACGAUCCGUAGCUGGUCUGAGAGGAUGAUCAACCACACUGGAACUGAGACACGGUCCAGACUCCUACGGGAGGCAGCAGUGGGGAAUAUUGGACAAUGGGCGCAAGCCUGAUCCAGCUAUACCGCGUGGGUGAAGAAGGCCUUCGGGUUGUAAAGCCCUUUUGUUGGGAAAGAAAAGCAGCAGGUUAAUACCCCGCUGUUCUGACGGUACCCAAAGAAUAAGCACCGGCUAACUUCGUG